rnacentral:tRNA from 1 species
GGGGUCUAGUGGUAUGAUUCUCGCUUAGGGUUCACUCUAAGUUUAGAUGCGAGAGGUCCCCGGUUCAAACCCGGGGUCGAGCCA